GAUGAACGCUGGCGGCGUGCCUAAUACAUGCAAGUCGAGCGAACGGACGAGAAGCUUGCUUUUCUGAUGUUAGCGGCGGACGGGUGAGUAACACGUGGAUAACCUACCUAUAAGACUGGGAUAACUUCGGGAAACCGGAUCUAAUACCGGAUGAUAUUUUGAACCGCAUGGUUCAAAAGUGAAAGACGGUCUUGCUGUCACUUAUAGAUGGAUCCGCGCUGCAUUAGCUAGUUGGUAAGGUAACGGCUUACCAAGGCAACGAUGCAUAGCCGACCUGAGAGGGUGAUCGGCCACACUGGAACUGAGCCACGGUCCAGACUCCUACGGGAGGCAGCAGUAGGGAAUCUUCCGCAAUGGGCGAAAGCCUGACGGAGCAACGCCGCGUGAGUGAUGAAGGUCUUCGGAUCGUAAAACUCUGUUAUUAGGGAAGAACAUAUGUGUAAGUAACUGUGCACAUCUUGGCGGUACCUAAUCAGAAAGCCACGGCUAACUACGUG
rnacentral:rRNA from 1 species